CUACCAUGCAGUCGAGCGGAACGAUGGGAGCUUGCUCCCAGGCGUCCAGCGGCGGACGGGUGAGUAACACGUGGGAAUCUGCCCAUUAGUGGGGGAUAACUCGGGGAAACUCGAGCUAAUACCGCAUAAUCCCUACGGGGGAAAGCAGGGGAUCUUCGGACCUUGCGCUGAUGGAUGAGCCCGCGUCGGAUUAUCUUGUUGGUGGGGUAAUGGCCCACCAAGGCGACGAUCCGUAACUGGUCUGAGAGGAUGGCCAGUCACACCGGGACUGAGACACGGCCCGGACUCCUACGGGAGGCAGCAGUGGGGAAUCUUGGACAAUGGGCGCAAGCCUGAUCCAGCCAUGCCGCGUGUGUGAAGAAGGCCUUCGGGUUGUAAAGCACUUUCAGUAGGGAGGAAGGCUUUGGGCUAAUACCCUGGAGUACUUGACGUUACCUACAGAAGAAGCACCGGCUAAUUUCGUGCCAGCAGCCGCGGUAAUACGAAAGGUGCGAGCGUUAAUCGGAAUUACUGGGCGUAAAGCGCGCGUAGGCGGUGUGUUAAGUCGGAUGUGAAAGCCCAGGGCUCAACCUUGGAAUUGCAUCCGAUACUGGCACGCUAUAGUGCAGUAGAGGGAGGUGGAAUUUCCGGUGUAGCGGUGAAAUGCGUAGAGAUCGGAAGGAACACCAGUGGCGGAAGCGGCCUCCUGGACUGACACUGACGCUGAGGUGCGAAAGCGUGGGAGCAAACAGGAUUAGAUACCCUGGUAGUCCACGCCGUAACGAUGUCUACUAUCCGUUGGGGUCCUUAGUGACUUUGGUGGCGCAGCUGACGCGAUAGUAGACCGCCUGGGGAGUACGGCCGCAGGUUAAACUCAAUGAAUUGACGGGGCCCGCACAGCGGUGGAGCAUGUGGUUUAUUCGAUGCACGCGAGACCUACCAGCUUGACAUCCUGCGAACUUUCUAAGAUAAUGUGCCUCGGAGCGCAUGACAGUGCUGCAUGACUGUCGUCACUCCUGUCGUGAGAUGUAGGGUGAGUCCCGUACGAGCGCACCCUUGUCUUAUGCAGGCAUCAGGUGGGGAGCUCUAUGUGACAUGCCGUGACAACGAGAGGUGGGGAGCCACGUCAGUCUCUCGGCUGA
rnacentral:rRNA from 1 species